rnacentral:rRNA from 1 species
AACGAACGUUGGCGGCGUGGUUGAGGCAUGCAAGUCGCACGAGAACGAUCCCUUCGGGGUUCUAGUAAAGUGGCGGAAGGGUGAGUAAUGGGUAGACAACGUACCCGAAAGAGGAGGAUAACGGCGGGAAACUGCCGCUAAUACUCCAUAAGACCACAGAUGGUUACCAUCAGGGUCAAAGCGGGGGACCUUCGGGCCUCGCGCUUUCGGAUCGGUCUACUCCCUACCAGCUUGUUGGUGAGGUAACGGCUCACCAAGGCUACGACGGGUACCCGGGCUGAGAGGCUGACCGGGCACAUCGGCACUGAGACACUGGCCGGACAUCUACGGAUGGCUGCAGUUCGGAAUAUUCGGCAAUGGGCGAAAGCCUGACCGAGCGACGCCGCGUGCGGGAUGAAGGCCCCUUGGGUUGUAAAACCGCUGUCACAGGUGAACAAAUCAACCCGGAAGAACACUCCGGAUUGUUGAGUUAAGCUUGAGAGGAAGCCCCCGCUAAUCACGUGCCAGCAGCGGCGG